GUUUGAUCAUGGCUCAGAUUGAACGCUGGCGGAAUGCUUUACACAUGCAAGUCGAACGGUAGAGGGGGCAACCCCUUGAGAGUGGCGAACGGGUGAGUAAUAGUAUCGGAACGUGCCCAGUCGUGGGGGAUAACGUAGCGAAAGUUACGCUAAUACCGCAUACGAUCUAAGGAUGAAAGCAGGGGAUCGCAAGACCUUGCGUUAUACGAGCGGCCGAUGUCAGAUUAGCUAGUUGGUGAGGUAAAGGCUCACCAAGGCGACGAUCUGUAGCGGGUCUGAGAGGAUGAUCCGCCACACUGGGACUGAGACACGGCCCAGACUCCUACGGGAGGCAGCAGUGGGGAAUUUUGGACAAUGGGGGCAACCCUGAUCCAGCCAUGCCGCGUGAGUGAAGAAGGCCUUCGGGUUGUAAAGCUCUUUCGGCCGGGAAGAAAUCGCACAGGCUAAUACUCUGUGUGGAUGACGGUACCGGCAUAAGAAGCACCGGCUAACUACGUG
rnacentral:rRNA from 1 species